rnacentral:rRNA from 1 species
AUUGAACGCUGGCGGCAUGCCUUACACAUGCAAGUCGAACGGCAGCGGGGGAGAAGCUUGCUUUUCCUGCCGGCGAGUGGCGAACGGGUGAGUAAUACAUCGGAACGUGCCCUGUAGUGGGGGAUAACUAGUCGAAAGAUUAGCUAAUACCGCAAACGACCUGAGGGUGAAAGUGGGGGACCGCAAGGCCUCAUGCUAUAGGAACGGCCGAUGUCUGAUUAGCUAGUUGGUGGGGUAAAGGCCUACCAAGGCGACGAUCAGUAGCUGGUCUGAGAGGACGAUCAGCCACACUGGGACUGAGACACGGCCCAGACUCCUACGGGAGGCAGCAGUGGGGAAUUUUGGACAAUGGGCGAAAGCCUGAUCCAGCAAUGCCGCGUGUGUGAAGAAGGCCUUCGGGUUGUAAAGCACUUUUGUCCGGAAAGAAAUGGCUCUGGUUAAUACCUGGGGUCGAUGACGGUACCGGAAGAAUAAGGACCGGCUAACUACGUGCCAGCAGCCGCCGUAA